rnacentral:rRNA from 1 species
UACGGAGGGGGCUAGCGUUGUUCGGAAUUACUGGGCGUAAAGCGCAUGUAGGCGGCAAUGCAAGUCGGGCGUGAAAUCCCACGGCUCAACCGUGGAAGUGCACUCGAAACUGCAUAGCUAGAGUCCUGGAGAGGAAGGUGGAAUGCUUGGUGUAGAGGUGAAAUUCGUAGAUAUCAAGCGGAACACCGGUGGCGAAGGCGGCCUUCUGGACAGUGACUGACGCUGAGAUGCGAAAGCGUGGGGAGCAAACAGG